ACUCAAAUGAAUAGACGGGGGCCCGCACAAGCGGCGGAGCAUGUGGCUUAAUUCGAGGCAACGCGAAGAACCUUACCUGGGUUGAACUACGAAGGAAAAGCCGUGGAGACACGGUGUCCGAAAGGGCCUUCGAUAGGUGGUGCAUGGCUGUCGUCAGCUCGUGUCGUGAGAUGUUGGGUUAAGUCCCGCAACGAGCGCAACCCUUUUCCUAUGUUGCCAGCGGGUAAUGCCGGGGACUCGUAGGAGACUGCCGGGGUCAACUCGGAGGAAGGUGGGGAUGAGGUCAAGUCAUCAUGCCCCUUACGCCCAGGGCUGCACACAUGCUACAAUGGCCGGUACAGAGGGCUGCUAUCCCGCGAGGGUGAGCGAAUCCCAAAAAGCCGGUCUCAGUUCGGAUCGCAGUCUGCAACUCGACUGCGUGAAGUCGGAGUCGCUAGUAAUCCCGGAUCAGCAACGCCGGGGUGAAUACGUUCCCGGGCCUUGUACACACCGCCCGU
rnacentral:rRNA from 1 species